UACGUAGGGGGGCUAGCGUUGUCCGGAUUUAUUGGGCGUAAAGAGCGUGUAGGCGGCCAUGUAGGUCCGGUGUGAAAACUCGAGGCUUAACCUCGAGAUGUCAUCGGAAACCAUUUGGCUAGAGUCCGGAAGAGGAGAGUGGAAUUCCUGGUGUAGCGGUGAAAUGCGCAGAUAUCAGGAAGAACACCAAUGGCGAAAGCAGCUCUCUGGGACGGUACUGACGCUGAGACGCGAAAAGCGUGGGGAGCGAACAGG
rnacentral:rRNA from 1 species